AUGAACGCUGGCGGCAGCCUAACAAUGCAAGUCGAACGGUAACAGGAAGUGCUUGCACUUCGCUGACGAGUGGCGGACGGGUGAGUAAUGCUUGGGAACUUGCCUUUGCGAGGGGGAUAACAGUUGGAAACGACUGCUAAUACCGCAUAACGUCUACGGACCAAACGGGGCUUAGGCUCCGGCGCAAAGAGAGGCCCAAGUGAGAUUAGCUAGUUGGUAAGGUAAAGGCUUACCAAGGCAACGAUCUCUAGCUGUUCUGAGAGGAAGAUCAGCCACACUGGAACUGAGACACGGUCCAGACUCCUACGGGAGGCAGCAGUGGGGAAUAUUGCACAAUGGGGGAAACCCUGAUGCAGCCAUGCCGCGUGUGUGAAGAAGGCCUUCGGGUUGUAAAGCACUUUCGGUUGUGAGGAAAAGUUAGUAGUUAAUACCUGCUAGCCGUGACGUUAACAACAGAAGAAGCACCGGCUAACUCCGUGCCAGCAGCCGCGGUAAUACGGAGGGUGCGAGCGUUAAUCGGAAUUACUGGGCGUAAAGCGCACGCAGGCGGUUUGUUAAGCUAGAUGUGAAAGCCCCGGGCUCAACCUGGGAUGGUCAUUUAGAACUGGCAGACUAGAGUCUUGGAGAGGGGGAUGGAAUUCCAGGUGUAGCGGUGAAAU
rnacentral:rRNA from 1 species